rnacentral:rRNA from 1 species
GACGAACGCUGGCGGCGUGCUUAACACAUGCAAGUCGAACGCUGAAGCUCAGAUCUUGUUGGGUGGAUGAGAGGCGAACGGGUGAGUAACACGUGAGGAACAUGCCCCCUUCUUUGGGAUAACGCCCGGAAACGGGGGCUAAUACUGGAGAUUCACUGUUCUUCCCAUGGGGGUUGGAGGAAAGGGCGGUUCUGGUGGGGGAUGGGCACGCGGCCCAUCAGCUUGUUGGUGGGGUGAUGGCCUACCAAGGCUUUGGCGGGUAGGCGGCCUGAGAGGGUGACCGGUCACUUUGAGACUGACCUACCGCCCAGACUCGUACGCGGGGCAGCAGUGUGCGCUAUUGCCCAAUGCGCGCCAGCCUGAUGCCGCGUCGCCGCGUAAGGGCUGGAGGCCUUCGGGUUGUGAUCCUCUUUCGCUCAUAGUCUGGCCGUAACAAUGGUUGUGGUGAGGGUAGUGGGUAAAGAAGCGCCGGCUAACUACGUG